GGAGAGGUGCCGGAGUGGUCGAUCGGGGCGGUCUCGAAAACCGUUGAGCCCAUUGGGUUCCGAGGGUUCGAAUCCCUCCCUCUCCGCCA
rnacentral:tRNA from 1 species